rnacentral:rRNA from 1 species
CCUACGGGUGGCAGCAGUGAGGAAUAUUGGUCAAUGGGCGCGAGCCUGAACCAGCCAAGUCGCGUGAAGGAUGACUGCCCUACGGGUUGUAAACUUCUUUUAUAAAGGAAUAAAGUGAGGCACGUGUGCCUUUUUGUAUGUACUUUAUGAAUAAGGAUCGGCUAACUCCGUGCCAGCAGCCGCGGUGAUACGGAGGAUCCGAGCGUUAUCCGGAUUUAUUGGGUGUAAAGUGAGUGUAGAUGGGUUGUUAAGUCAGUUGUGAAAGUUUGCGGCUCAACCGUAAAAUUGCAAUUGAUACUGGCAGCCUUGAGUACAGUUGAGGUAGGCGGAAUUCGUGGGGUAGCGGUGAAAUGCGUAGAUAUCACGAAGAACUCCGAUGGCGAAGGCAGCUUACUAAACUGCCACUGACAUUGAGGCUCGAAAGUGUGGGUAUCAAACAGGAUUAGAUACCCCAGUAGUC